rnacentral:piRNA from 1 species
UAUCGAAGUUGUUGUUAUUGA